AUGACAGAAAGAGAAGAUGUGUACAGUCUGAACCCACACACAAAAACUCUCCUCWCUCACCCCGGUGUUGAGCUUGAUGUUGGAGCAGUCCUCAGAGAUGAGCGUGCCGCUGUCAGUGAAGUCGGUGACGUCCGUCAUGCCGCUAUAGCUGCUGGUGUCGUCCAUGGUCCAGUCGUGGGAGCGUCUCUCGUGUUGGUACUGCAGCGGAGGAAGACCUCCUCCAUGGUGGUGACAGAGGCUCCAUAGCUGGCGAUGCCCAGCUCCUCUCUGUUCAUCUCCAGCUCUGCAAACAGCAGCUCAAACCUGGAGAGGGAAGAACGUUGAUCCAUCAGAGAUCAGUCAGACCCGGGUCUAAAACAGUCUUCUGUCAUGGGGAUCUAYGGUGACRUCACAGGCCGUUAAACAACCUCAACAGUCAGUCAAUACUCCCUCCAGAUAAAACCAACARCUAUAGCAGGGACCAAAAUACCACCCUAUUMCCAUUUUACUGCACUACUUUUCACCAGGUCAAAAGUGGUCAARAGUAGUGCACUAAAUAGGGAAUAGGGUGCCAUUUGGGACAUUAGCUAUAUAUCUACUUGAAACAUCACCCUUACCUCUAGAAGUAGAGGUGUCUGUAAUCAUACUGUAGCAAGCAGCAACACCCUCAGAUUGGACCCAACUUGGGCUCAUCAAAAUAGACUGACAAAAAUAGUAUGUGUGUCACACUAAACACUGAGCUGUGGCCAUCGGCACUGAUGGCCUGUGUGAGAUUGGGUAUUGAUUUUGUCUUACCGGUUGGUGCUYUCUUUGGGCAGAAUGUAUGAGAGCUCAGCACCAGCACUGCUCUCCAGCGUGGCAUUGGGAACGUACAUGUGGACCAGCCGUGUGAUCUCAGACACGUUGCACAGCGCAUCCUUCACGAUCACCAUGUGGUAGCCAGCACCUGAGACGCAGGAGGAGGGUAAAGUUACAUCUCUGAAUCCCUCUAUCACCUCAUGACAUUCUACAACUACUAGUUAUUCACACUGUUCUGUCUUGUAUUCUUCACUCCCACUUCACCCCUUCUAUCCAACCCUUUUCAUUUCACCACCCAUUCUUCUCUUUCUCCCUCCCUCCUCUCUUCCCUCUUCCACACCCUUUACCCAUUCUUCU
rnacentral:lncRNA from 1 species